AUGCCUCCACAGAGGGCGAAUCUGUAUAUGAAGGAAAAAGAAAAACAUAAGUUGCCUACAUUCUAGACCAUGUCCGCAAUUGCAAACAUCCAUCAAAGGAUUAAUCUUGUUCAAUGCAGGAAAAUAUUAUUAAAUGCAAUUCACCUUUCCAUUUUACUUCAUUUAUGGCUCUACAUGUUGGGAAAUGAAGGAAAAGUUUUCAUGCAACCAAUCCCAAUCAACUUGAAAUUAAGAAUUUAAUGAAAGAGGCAUUUAUAGUAGCUUCAAGGUAAGAUACUAUUCUUCGACACCAUAACCG
rnacentral:misc_RNA from 1 species